GCCUGGCUGGCUCAGUCAAAAGAGCAUGUGACUCUGGAUCUCAGGGCUGUGAGUUCAAGCCCCACGUUGGGUG
rnacentral:tRNA from 1 species